ensembl:snRNA U6 U6 spliceosomal RNA
GUGCUCACUUCUGCAGCACAUAUAUUAAAACUGGAACAAUAUGAGAAGAUUAGCAUGGCCCUUGCACAAGGAUGACACACAAAUUCACGAAGCAUUCUAUAUUUUU